GCGGGCGUAGCUCAAUGGUAGAACUCCAGCCUUCCAAGCUGGUCACGUGGGUUCGAUUCCCAUCGCCCGCUCCA
rnacentral:tRNA from 1 species